ensembl:lncRNA
CUUUUCUCUUUCUUGGAUGAUUCAUAGAGCACUUCAGGAUCUCACAGUGCUUUUGAUUUAUUAUGAUUAGCAUCAACUAUCAUUAGAGGGGCUCCAAAUAAGUCUGGAUAUAUGAAUUUUCUGGUUUCAAUUUCUGAACAAAACUGAGAGCAAGUACAUUUAGCCACCAGGGGACUGACAGAACCCGAAGGAAAAAUACAAGUGUUCAUUGACCUCACAUAAAACACAGUAAACGGCACAGAGAAUUAGGAGAAAAUUAAAUCCAUCCAGACUUGGAGUAAUUUUGCCUAAGAGAGUCUAAUUAGUCACGUUGGAGUGUGAUCAGAACCUCCAUAUUAAUACAACCCACCCACGCCCUCUCCUUCAGAUUGUGACUUUAGGAAACAUAUCACGGGAGAGUACCGUCUGAGCACUGUCCAGGGACUAGGCAGAAGUGAGGCAAUUUCCCCCUCAAUUGUUGCCACAGCCACACUGGGGAUUGCAAUUUUACUGUGGCUCCUUGCCCCAAGGGCUGCAGGGCAUGGCAUUUGUUUCAGAGCUGGCACUGUCACUACCCAUGGAGCCAUGCCUGUAGGGCUGGCAAACAUCCAAGGAGAAUCAUUUACUUGCAGAGAAAAAGAGGAAAGAGGCCAGUUAACAAACAAAGGUGAGAGGGCCAUGUCCAUGAUGGCACGCCAUGCUGUGAGCAGGAUCAGGUGAAGGAGGCUGAGGAAGAAAGAAAAGGGGAAGUAGGGGGUUAUGAAGGGAUAUGAUCAAGGUAGCAAUGGUGCAGCUGCCAAAUAAGCUAUUAGAAAUCAAUCAAGGAGAAUUAGGUGUCAGGAAAACAUAGGAGACCAGCCCAGGCAGAGAGUCAACACCUCUGAAAUCUGCAGAAGUUGAAGAAACAAAGCAAGAUGGGUUGUCAACAUGGAGCAUUCUGGAGUUUUCACCCCAGAAAAUUGCUGCAUGAUCUCAGCAUUCAGGAAAGGACCCAGAUGCCAAGGGAGCUUUCUAUUCCAGCCCUAGCUGCAUUUAUAUGCCUUUUGACUCCAGUGAAACUCAGUUUCAGUGCUCUGCUGACCAGAAAGAAGGACAAUGUGAAAGGAAGAAAGAAAGAAAGAAAGAAAAAAAAAUCACUUACUAGACCAAGAAUCAAGAGAUCAGGUUCUAAUUCUAGCCCUGUUACCUGUCAGUGGGAUAAUCCUGUGUAAACCAUUUAGAGUCUACAACAGUUUCUUCCUUUUUAAAAUUCAGUAAUAGACUGUGUUUUCCCCGUGUAUCUUACAGGAUUGUUGUAAAGAUCAAACAAAUUAAUAAAUGAGCAAAUGUUUUGACAAUUAACUCACAAUUAAUUAACAGUGGCUUGGUAUUGAGGGUGCCAUCUCUCCUUUCAUCUCCGCAAUAAUCCCAUGCAGCAGGCAUAGCUCGAUCCAUUUGAAAACCUGAGCCCAGCGAGAUACCCAGUGACUUGCUAGAGCUUAAUAGCCAUAGAGCAGGACAGCCGGGAUUCAAAACCAAGCCUCCUGACUCUAAGUGCUUUUCUCACUAUUAUGUCGAAUCAUAUGAAAUUGCUAUUUUUGUAGGUCAAAAAAAAAAUCAAAUGUCAGCAAUUUCAUAUGGUUUAACCUGGUAGAACACAUCUGUACAAAGAACUAUUGAAAUUCAAGAGAGCAGAACUAUUGAGUAGUAGCUUAGGCUCUGAUUAGCACCAUUUAGGAACAAUGUUCCCUUAUA